GGACCACCAGGAGAGAAAGGGCCCACAGGAAAGCCUGGUCUACCAGGAAUGCCCGGAGCUGACGGUCCUCCAGGUCAUCCUGGAAAGGAAGGCC